rnacentral:tRNA from 1 species
AGACAAGCGCCGGCGGAACGGGUAUCAUUGAUGUUGAUAAAUAGGAAUAAUUUCUCCUUGUCUG